UACAGAGGUCCCAAGCGUUGUUCGGAUUCACUGGGCGUAAAGGGUGCGUAGGCGGUCGGGUAAGUCUGAUGUGAAAUCUCACAGCUUAACUGUGAAACUGCAUUGGAUACUAUUCGGCUUGAGAGUUGGAGGGGGGACUGGAAUUCUUGGUGUAACAGUGAAAUGCGUAGAUAUCAAGAGGAACACCAGUGGCGAAGGCGAGUCCCUGGACAACUUCUGACGCUGAGGCACGAAAGCGUGGGGAGCAAACAGG
rnacentral:rRNA from 1 species